UUAAAUGCCAAAUUAAUUGUGUAGAGCCAUUUUAAUUGACUUUGUGAGUUUGACUUGUCUUGUUGGGUCUUGGUCAAGGUUGAUCUGACUUUGCUAGGUUAAGAUCAUUGGAUUUAGGGGAUUGAUGGAAUGUACAUUCCAUCUCCCAAAAUGAAUGAAUGAUCUUAAUUUGGUAAAAGUCUUUCCUUGACCAAUUUGUG
rnacentral:lncRNA from 1 species